ensembl:lncRNA
AUGUUUCUGCUCUCGUCAGCCAUCAGCAGCUUUCAUGAGGAACUGAUCCGACAACAGAGAACAUCCUUAUCUCACUCCAGCUGUCUCUGUCUGUCCACCUGUCUGUCUCCAUCUGCCUCUGUCUGUCUUUCCACCUGUCUGUCUCGAUCAGUCUCUGUCUGUCCACCUGUCUGUCUGUCUGUCUGUCUGUCUCUGUCUGUCCACCUGUCUGUCUCCAUCUGCCUCUGUCUGUCUGUCCACCUGUCUGUCUCGAUCAGUCUCUGUCUGUCUCUGUCUGUCCACCUGUCUGUCUCGAUCAGUCUCUGUCUGUCCACCUGUCUGUCCACCUGUCUGUCUGUCUCUGUCUGUCCACCUGUCUGUCUGUCUGUCUGUCUGUCUCCCUGUCUGUCUCGAUCAGUCUCUGUCUGUCCACCUGUCUGUCUGUCUGUCUGUCUGUCUCUGUCUGUCCACCUGUCUGUCUGUCUGUCUGUCUCUGUCUGUCCACCUGUCUGUCUGUCUCUAUCUUUCUGUCUGUCUCCAGUCUCUAUCUGUCUGUCUGUCUCCAUCUGCCUCUGUCUGUCUGUCUGUCUGUCUUUCUGUCUGUCCACCUGUCUGUCUGUCUGUCUGUCUGUCUCUGUCUGUCCACCUGUCUGUCUGUCUGACUGUCUGCCUCUGUCUGUCUUUCUGUCUGUCCACCUGUCUGUCUCUAUCUGUCUGUCUGUCUCCAUCUGCCUCUGUCUGUCUGUCCACCUGUCUGUCUCCAUCUGUCUGUCUCCAUCUGUUUUUCUGUCUGUCUGUCCACCUGUUUUUCUGUCUCCAUCAGUCUCUAUCUGUCUGUCCAUCUACCUGUCUGUCUGUCUGUCUGUCUGUCCACUUGUCUGUCUCCAUCAAUAUCUGUCUGUCUGUCCACAUGUCUGUCUAUCUCCAUCUGUCUCUGUCUGUCUGUCUGUCCACCUGUCUCUGUUUGUCUCCAUCAGUCUCUAUCUGUCUGUCUGUCUCCAUCUGUCUGUCUGUCUGUCCACCUGUUUUUCUGUCUCCAUCAGUCUCUGUCUGUCUGUCUCCAUGUGUCUCUCUGUCCGUCUGUCCACCUGUCUGUCUCCAUAUGUCUCUGUCUGUCUGUCUGUCUCCAUAUGUCUCGCUCUCUGUCUGUCCACCGGUCUGUCUCCACCUGUCUGUCUGUCUGUCUGUGGUGUGUCAUAG